UACGUAGGGUGCGAGCGUUAAUCGGAAUUACUGGGCGUAAAGCGUGCGCAGGCGGUUUUGUAAGCCGGAUGUGAAAUCCUGGAGCUCAACUCCAGAACUGCCUUUGAUACUGAAAGUCUUGAGUAUGGGAGAGGUGAGUGGAACUGCGAGUGAGAGGUGAAAAUUGUAGAUAUCGCAAGAACACCGGUGGCGAAGGCGGC
rnacentral:rRNA from 1 species